rnacentral:tRNA from 1 species
CGGUGGAUAGCUCAGUUGGUAGAGCACCAAGAAUUGUGGGUUCGAGUCCCACUACACUUU